GGCCAACAGGGAGAUGAGGAUUGUCUCUGGGCCAACAGGGAGAUGAGGAUUGUCUCUGGGCCAACAGGGAGAUGAGGAUUGUCUCUGGGCCAACAGGGAGAUGAGGAUUGUCUCUGGCCCAACAGGGAGAUGAGGACUGUCUCUGGCCCAACAGGGAGAUGAGGAUUGUCUCUGGGCCAACAGGGAGAUGAGGACUGUCUCUGGCCCAACAGGGAGAUGAGGAUUGUCUCUGGGCCAACAGGGAGACACUACCAUUAUCUGAGUAAUCCACCAACUUCCAGAUUAAACAGGGAAACGUAGAGGAUAUUGUGGUUGUGUUGUAAAAACAGUUGUGUACCUUCAGCACAGACGCAUCAUAGUGUAAGAUCAUCCCUCUGUCAAUCAUCCCUCUGUCAAUCAUCCCUCUGUCAAUCAUCCCUCUGUCAAUCACACAACACAGCCCUCAUCCAAGGGAAACAGGAGAGACACAAUCAUCCCUCUGUCAAUGACUCCUGAGCCAGAGACACAAUCAUCCCUCUGUCAAUCACUCCUGAGCCAGAGACACAAUCAUCCCUCUGUCAAUGACUCCUGAGCCAGAGACACAAUCAUCCCUCUGUCAACCACUCCUGAGCCAGAGACACAAUCAUCCCUCUGUCAACCACUCCUGAGCCAGAGACACAAUCAUCAGCCAGUCAGGGAUUUAGAGGCAGCCCCGAAUCCCCACAUCAGGACAGCCAAGAAGGAUCGUCUCGACCUGGACAGACAGACAACCAUGUGUUCUCCUACAGCAGUAUUAGACCAGGACAUACAGGCAGACAACGCAUCUGACCCAACCACCACCCUUCUGACCAGGACAGACAGACAGACGGCCAAGGAUCUGACCCAAACACCACCCUUCUGAUCAGGACAGACAGACGGCCAAGGAUCUGACCCAAACACCACCCUUCUGAUCAGGACAGACAGACAGAUGCCCAAGGAUCUGACCCAACUACCACCCUUCUGAUCAGGACAGACAGACGACCAAGGAUGUGACCCAACCACCACCCUUCUGAUCAGGACAGACAGACGACCAAGGAUGUGACCCAACCACCACCCUUCUGAUCAGGACAGACAGACGACCAAGGAUCUGACCCAACCACCACCCUUCUGAUCAGGACAGACAGACGACCAAGGAUCUGACCCAACCACCACCCUUCUGAUCAGGACAGACAGACGACCAAGGAUCUGACCCAACCACCACCCUUCUGUGCCUUCCACCAACUCCAUCACAUCCAUUUAACUUUUGUUUUCUGAUUGUUGUUAUUUUGGGGUGGAGCUCUGCAGCUGGAUGCAUCUCCAGUACUGUCCUGCCCCCUAUUGGUCAACUGGAUACUUCUCCCGUACUGUCCUGCCCCCUAUUGGUCAACUGGAUACUUCUCCCGUACUGUCCUGCCCCCUGGUGGUCAACUGGAUACUUCUCCGGUACUGUCCUGCCCCCUGGUGGUCAGUUGGAUACUCCUCCCAUACUGUCCUGCCCCCUAGUGGUCAACUGGAUACUUCUCCCAUACUGUCCUGCCCCCUGGUGGACAAUUGGAUGCAUCUCCGGUACUGUCCUGCCCCCUAGUGGUCAACUGGAUACUUCUCCCAUACUGUCCUGCCCCCUAGUGGUCAACUGGAUACUUCUCCCGUACUGUCCUGCCCCCUAGUGGUCAACGGACAACCACAACUGCCAUAUACUGUUGUUGGUGGCUUGGGAUCGAACCGUUCUCUCUCUCAGGAGAAACACUCAACUCUUAAUAACAGGGCGUGUCACCGUUAAUCAUCAUUCUGAAGUCCUACGUGUGUUUUGAAAGAUUUAUUUUUAAAAAGACCUUGUGUUUAGUGGGUUGCUUCAUAUCGGAAGGAGGAUAUGUUCACUACCAGUCCGUCCAUACUAAUGUUGUGUAAAGUUGUCACGUGGAAGUAGACAUUUAGUAUAUUUUUGUAAUGCUAUUUUUUUUCUCCUGAUUUAUAUUUUUCUAAAAUGAUCAUGUGAUCCAAUGGACAUAUUGAAAAGAUGCAAAUGCAACUGCAAUUACAAAAGACAUAUAUGACUGGUGUAAAAAUCAGGGCCAAAAGUUAGUCUAUCUCAGAUAUAUACGUCAAGUCAAGAGGUGUUAGACCAUACUGUCUGGUCAGGAACACACACAUCUCCCUGACAGGAAAUGUCCCUGACAGGAAAUGUCCCUGACCUCCCUGACAGGAAAUACUUUUGUGAUGUCUUUCCACCUUCUGGUAAUUUCCCCUAAAAAAAAAGAGAUAGAUGAUCUGUUUGUUUCUAUGUCAGGGGGAUUUAAAUAUGAAGGAGUAAUUUAGCCAUUCUCUAAGUCAGGGGGAUUUAUUAAAUAUGAAGGAGUAAUUUAGCCAUUCUCUACAUCAGGGGGGAUUUAAAUAUGAAGGAGUAAUUUAGCCAUUCUCUACAUCAGGGGGGAUUUAAAUAUGAAGGAGUAAUUUAGCCAUUCUCUACAUCAGGGGGAUUUAAAUAUGAAGGAGUAAUUUAGCCAUUCUCUACAUCAGGGGGAUUUAUUAAAUAUGAAGGAGUAAUUUAGCCAUUCUCUACAUCAGGGGGGAUUUAAAUAUGAAGGAGUAAUUUAGCCAUUCUCUACAUCAGGGGGGAUUUAAAUAUGAAGGAGUAAUUUAGCCAUUCUCUACAUCAGGGGGGAUUUAAAUAUGAAGGUGUAAUUUAGCCAUUCUCUACAUCAGGGGGAUUUAAAUAUGGAGUAAUUUAGCCAUUCUCUACAUCAGGGGGAUUUAAAUAUGAAGGAGUAAUUUAGCCAUUCUCUACAUCAGGGGGAUUUAAAUAUGGAGUAAUUUAGCCAUUCUCUACAUCAGGGGGAUUUAUUAAAUAUGAAGGAGUAAUUUAGCCAUUCUCUACAUCAGGGGGAUUUAUUAAAUAUGAAGGAGUAAUUUAGCCAUUCUCUACAUCAGGGGGAUUUAUUAAAUAUGAAGGAGUAAUUUAGCCAUUCUCUACAUCAGGGGGAUUUAUUAAAUAUGAAGGAGUAAUUUAGCCAUUCUCUACAUCAGGGGAUUUAUUAAAUAUGAAGGAGUAAUUUAGCCAUUCUCUAAGUCAGGGGGAUUUAAAUAUGAAGGAGUAAUUUAGCCAUUCUCUACAUCAGGGGAUUUAUUAAAUAUGAAGGAGUAAUUUAGCCAUUCUCUACAUCAGGGGGAUUUAAAUAUGAAGGAGUAAUUUAGCCAUUCUCUACAUCAGGGGGAUUUAAAUAUGAAGGAGUAAUUUAGCCAUUCUCUACAUCAGGGGGAUUUAAAUAUUAAGGAGUAUUUUAGCCAUUCUCUACAUCAGGGGGAUUUAUUAAAUAUGAAGGAGUAAUUUAGCCAUUCUCUACAUCAGGGGGGAUUUAAAUAUGAAGGAGUAAUUUAGCCAUUCUCUACAUCAGGGGGAUUUAAAUAUGAAGGAGUAAUUUAGCCAUUCUCUACAUCAGGGGGAUUUAAAUAUGAAGGAGUAAUUUAGCCAUUCUCUACAUCAGGGGGGAUUUAAAUAUGAAGGAGUAAUUUAGCCAUUCUCUACCUUCCUGUGGCCUGUUCUUGCAAAGCAUCAAGUAAUCCUGUACGCAUUCCUGCAUAAGGCAUUAUGUGGUGUGUGUGUGUGUGUGUGUGUGUGUGUGUGUGUGUGUGUGUGUGUGUGUGUGUGUGUGUGUGUGUAUUUGAUCCGAAUACAGGUUUACAGGUAGACUGUUUUGACCCUGUUUCUGCAGUGUUGAGUUGUGACACAUGUAAUAUCAUUUAAACUGCUACCCUCGUACAGCGCAGACUGGGCCUCAUGUUAUCCAGCCUUAUUCCUUAGAGAUUUAAUCCCACCGAUGCCCUUAAAUUAGCAAUCCAUAGUCCAUAUCAGCCAGCCGUCCUGUCCCAAUCCAUUAGUAUUCUGCCAGCAGUCCUGUCCCAUUCCGUUAGUAUUCUGCCAGCCAUUCUGUCCCAAUCCGUUGGUAGAGUCUUCAGCCAGCCAUCCUGUCCCAAUCCGUUAGUAUUGUGCCAGCCGUCCUGUCCCAAUCCGUUAGUCAAGUAUUCAGCCAGCCAUCCUGUCCCAAUCCGUUAGUCAAGUAUUCAGCCAGCCGUCCUGUCCCAAUCCGUUAGUAGAGUAUUCAGCCAGCCAUCCUGUCCCAAUCCGUUAUUAUUCAGCCAGCCGUCCUGUCCCAAUCCGUUAGUAUUCUGCCAACCAUCCUGUCCCAAUCCGUUGGUAGAGUAUUCAGCCAGCCGUCCUGUCCCAAUCCGUUAGUAUUCUGCCAGCCAUACUGUCCCAAUCCGUUAGUAGAGUAUUCAGCCAGCCAUCCUGUCCCAAUCCGUUAGUAUUCAGCCAGCCAUCCUGUCCCAAUCCGUUAGUAUUCAGCCAGCCGUCCUGUCCCAAUCGGUUAGUACUGCCAGCCAUCCUGUCCCAAUCCGUUAGUACUCUGCCAGUUGUCCUGUCCCAAUCGGUUAGUAUUCAGCCAGCUGACCUGUCCCAAUCCGUUAGUAUUCUGCCAGCCGUCCUGUCCCAAUUUGUUAGUAUUCAGCCAGCUGUCCUGUCCCAAUCGGUUAGUACUGCCAGUCAUCCUGUCCCAAUCCGUUAGUACUCUGCCCAUCUCUCUGUGUGUCUGUGAGAGUGGAUUAACGUUAUGUCUGUGUGUGGAGAGGCCUCCAUCACCAUACAUUCCUAAAGGCACCCUAUUCCCUACGUAGUGCACUACUGAAAGUAGUGUACACUGGGAUUUACUUUGACCAAUAGGGCUCCGGUCAAAAGUAGUGCGCUAUAUAGGGGAUAGGGUGCCAUUUGGGACCCUGGCUUGAUCUUCAUCCAUCCAGUACCUUUGGUUGAAAUGUUCCUCCUAAAACUAAGCUGCCAAACUGGUUUGAAGCCAAAUGUUUCUCUGUAUGUUAAACUGGUUUAAGUGUUUCAGUUUAAACCUCGUUCCCUUUAAAAUGUUACACUGUGUUUUUAUUGGAAAAUGACAAUUUGUUAAAUUGUUGAUAUCUUCAGAAGAUCGUAAGAGUUGUGGAAUAAACUGAAAACAAGA